AACGAACGCUGGCGGCAUGCCUAACACAUGCAAGUCGAACGAGACCUUCGGGUCUAGUGGCGCACGGGUGCGUAACGCGUGGGAACCUGCCCUUAGGUUCGGAAUAACUCCCCGAAAGGGGUGCUAAUACCGGAUAAUGUCUUCGGACCAAAGAUUUAUCGCCUUUGGAUGGGCCCGCGUUGGAUUAGCUAGUUGGUAGGGUAAAAGCCUACCAAGGCGACGAUCCAUAGCUGGUCUGAGAGGAUGAUCAGCCACACUGGGACUGAGACACGGCCCAGACUCCUACGGGAGGCAGCAGGGGGGAAUAUUGGACAAGGGGCGAAAGCCUGACCCAGCAAUGCCGGGUGGGUGAUGAAGGCCUUAGGGUUGUAAAGCUCUUUUCCCCGGGAUGAUAAUGACAGUCCCGGGAGAAGAAGCCCCGCCUAACUCCGG
rnacentral:rRNA from 1 species